GACGUCGAAUGUCGACGUCAUAAACACGUAACUUGAUCGUGUUUAUGACGUCGAAUAUCGACGUCAUAAACACCUAAGGUGAUCGUGUUUAUGACGUCAAAUAUCGACGUC